UGAGGAAUAUUGGACAAUGGGUGGAAGCCUGAUCCAGCCAUCCCGCGUGAAGGACGACGGCCCUAUGGGUUGUAAACUUCUUUUGUACAGGGAUAAACCUCCCCUCGUGAGGGGAGCUGAAGGUACUGUACGAAUAAGCACCGGCUAACUCCGUGCCAGCAGCCGCGGUAAUACGGAGGGUGCAAGCGUUAUCCGGAUUUAUUGGGUUUAAAGGGUCCGUAGGCGGGCCCGUAAGUCAGUGGUGAAAUCUCGCAGCUUAACUGCGAAACUGCCAUUGAUACUGCGGGUCUUGAGUGAAUUUGAAGUGGCUGGAAUAAGUAGUGUAGCGGUGAAAUGCAUAGAUAUUACUUAGAACACCGAUUGCGAAGGCAGGUCACUAAGAUUCAACUGACGCUGAGGGACGAAAGCGUGGGGAGCGAACAGG
rnacentral:rRNA from 2 species